AACGAACGCUGGCGGCAGGCCUAACACAUGCAAGUCGAACGGAUCCUUCGGGAUUAGCGGCGGACGGGUGAGUAACACGUGGGAACGUGCCCUUUGGUUCGGAACAACUCAGGGAAACUUGAGCUAAUACCGGAUGUGCCCUUCGGGGGAAAGAUUUAUCGCCAUUGGAGCGGCCCGCGUCUGAUUAGCUAGUUGGUGAGGUAAAGGCUCACCAAGGCGACGAUCAGUAGCUGGUCUGAGAGGAUGAUCAGCCACAUUGGGACUGAGACACGGCCCAAACUCCUACGGGAGGCAGCAGUGGGGAAUCUUGCGCAAUGGGCGAAAGCCUGACGCAGCCAUGCCGCGUGAAUGAUGAAGGUCUUAGGAUUGUAAAAUUCUUUCACCGGGGACGAUAAUGACGGUACCCGGAGAAGAAGCCCCGGCUAACUUCGUGCCAGCCGCCGCAGUAAUAC
rnacentral:rRNA from 1 species